AUGGAUUCCAUCAUGACUAAUGGGACUUGGGAGCUUACUGCACGUCCAUAUGGUUGCAAAUCAUUGGGAUGCAAGUGGGUGUUCAAGAAGAAGCUUAGGCCUGACGGCUUUGUUGUUAAUGAGGCCGACAAAUGUGUAUACUAUCGCUAUGGUGGGGGCGAAGGAGUUAUACUGUGUUUGUAUGUUGAUGACAUACUGAUAUUUGGGACUAAUCUCAAGUUGAUCGAGGAGGUUAAGUCUUUCCUAUCUCAGAACUUUGAGAUGAAGGACCUUGGAGUGGCUGAUGUUAUCUUGAACAUCAAGCUACUGAGAGAUGAUGAGGGUGGGAUUACACUUCUGCAAUCCCAUUAUGUUGAGAAGGUGUUGAGUCGCUUUGGAUAUUCGGACUGUACUAUGAACUAUGGACUUCACUAUACCGGAUACCCGUCGGUACUUGAAGGGUAUAGUGAUGUGAAUUGGAUCUCUGAUGCUGAUGAGAUGAAGGCCACAACUGGGUAUAUGUUUACUCUUGGAGGUGGUAUUGUUUCCUGGAAGUCUUGCAAGCAAACGAUCUUAACAAGAUCGACAAUGGAAGCAGAAUUAACAACAUUAGAUACAUCGGGUGGCGAAGCGGAAUGGCUUCGAGAUCUGUUGAUGGACUUGACAGUGGUUGAGAAGCCGGUUCCGGCCAUCCUUAUGAACUGCGACAAUCAAACGGUUAUUGUCAAGGUGAAGAGUUCAAAGGACAACAUGAAAUAG
rnacentral:rRNA from 1 species